rnacentral:rRNA from 1 species
CUCCUGGAAACGGGUGGUAAUGCCGGAUGCUCCGCCCCCUCGCAUGGGGGGGUCGGGAAGGCUUUUGCGGAAUGGGAUGGGGUCGCGUCCUAUCAGCUUGUUGGCGGGGCGACGGCCCACCAAGGCUUCGACGGGUAGCCGGCCUGAGAGGGCGACCGGCCACAUUGGGACUGAGAUACGGCCCAGACUCCUACGGGAGGCAGCAGUGGGGAAUAUUGCACAAUGGGGGGAACCCUGAUGCAGCGACGCCGCGUGCGGGAUGGAGGCCUUCGGGUCGUGAACCGCUUUUGAUUGGGAGCAAGCGUGAGUGAGUGUACCUUUCGAAUAAGCACCGGCUAACUGCGUGCCAGCAGCCGCGGUAAUACGUAGGGUGCAAGCGUUGUCCGGAAUCAUUGGGCGUAAAGGGCUCGUAGGCGGUUCGUCGCGUCCGGUGUGAAAGCCCAUCGCUUAACGGUGGGUCUGCGCCGGGUACGGGCGGGCUUGAGUGCGGCAGGGGAGGCUGGAAUUCCCGGUGUAACGGUGGAAUGUGUAGAUAUCGGGAAGAACACC